GGCAGAGCAUGAGACUGAAAAGUCCUUGAUCAGGAUAUUGUUUCCAGAAUUAGUUGCUAUGUCGUCUUCCCAGGGACUGAGGUGAGGCUGACCAUCCUGUAGUUCCCUGGACCUUCCUUCUUCUUCUUUUUGAAGACAGCAGUGACGUUUGCUUUCUUCCAGUCCUAAGGAACCUCACAUGAAUGCCACGACUUUUCAAACGUGAUAGAGAGUAGCCUUGCAAUGACAUCAACAACCUGCCUCAGGAUUCAUGGGUGUAACCCAUGCGUCCACUUUUUUUCAGUACUCCCUAAUCUUUCUGCAAAGGGUAAAUCUCAUACAAACACUCUUGCUUCUUGCCUGAAGCAAUAGGGAAGCAAGCUGAAAAUGUCUCUGAAGGUGGGGCACAGAAUAUCAGAGAAAAAUGGGUAAACAAAAGAUUCAGAAGUAUGAAUGUGGAAAGAUGCAGCAAACAGGUUUCACAUUGCUGCAACAUAGGUA